UUUAGCUAAGGCUGUACUGUGGAGACAAUCAGUGUAUUGCAGAAUGUAAUGACAAUGAGUAGAGAGAGCAGAUUUCAUGGACAGGGGGAAAGCCUUUUUAUUCUUCCAAAAACGGAUUGCUGCCCAGUAAACAUAAAAAAAGGUAGAGCUGUAGUCAUAAGAAACACGGCUGUAGGAGAAGAGCUUCCUCACAGAGUUGGCCUCCACAAGAUAAAGAAAGUCAAUGAUGCACAUCUUACUCCUAGAGAGAGAGACCACCAAGACUGGAAAGAUACUGUGAAGGAUACUGCAAGAGAAUACUUCCCAGAACAAAGGGAAAGGAUACAGAUAAGGAGGCUAAAGCCCAGAGAAGAUAAGUGGCUGGCACAACAUCACACGGCUGGUCAUUGGAGAACAAAUAAGAGAGUCCCAGGUACCAUGGCUCCAGAAGUUGUGCUCUAAUAUGGAUCCAGUCCUUAGAAAAGGACACUGAGAAAUACCUUCUAUCAAGGGGAUACCAAUGAAGGAGAAAUAAUGAAAAAAGGUCAUACAGCUAGAAAAAGAUGCAGACUACAUUGUCAUGAAAGAGAAGGAUGUUUACAGUGUAACUUCGCAGUUAAUGGUGAGUCCUACUGAGCCUGGACCUGAAGUGUCUCGGUGUGUUUUUGCAUCCCCCUUAAUUAUGUCAUUGCCAUACGAUGAGAGACACAUGAAACCCAGCGCAACUCAGCCUACAUCGCUGACCUCCAACUAACUCACAGGUGUGUCAGAAAGACUGGUUAAAUUAGCAGAGCUGCCCAGCCCAGGAGAGCACAGACGAGUCUAUUAGCAAGAGAUCUGCAGUCACAUGAGCCAUAAUAAUGUCAUUUAGUGUUAAGCCACUGGGUUUUAUGCAGCAAUAGCUUAUCUGUACAAUGUAUACAUUCAAAGGAUAUUGCCAUGGGGAAUUUUAAACACUAAAUCGUUAUUUAUUUUGGAAGUCUACUGUUUAAGGUUUACUUAUGAUCUACUCACAAGUGUGAAAUAUGAUCAAAGAAGUAUUAUCUAAUCGCAAGGACUAUUUUGGUUAUUCAUCUUUAGAGUCAAACUCCUUAUUAAAUCAAAGUUAGAGAGGCCAUGACUUCUAUCAUAUUUGUAAAACAUAAAGUACUUGCUUGUUUUGUGCAAGAAAGAUGCUGAUGGUUUUUUGACAGAAAAUAUUAAUUGAAUAAGUGAAUUCCUCUGGGCUAUGAUCAUCUUAAAAUAUGAAAGCAAAAGAUCACGUUAAUUUAGGACUACCCAUCUGUAGCAAAUAAUCAGUUCAAAUUUCUAUCUUGA
ensembl:lncRNA